UAUGUUUAUAUUUAAUACACAUUUAAUUCUUUUUUAGAUAUCUAUAUUUUACAAGACAUGAAUAUGUUACUGUCUAUGAAACUGUUGUUAAUGCAGAUGGUAGUGUCACUGAAACUUCCUAUGUUGCCCCAGAUGAAAAUUCUAUUUAUUAGUAUGCAACCUGUCUAAAUCAUUCUACUGAAAAGGAUUCUACUGAUUUUUAAUUUAUGCCAUUUAUUUCAUGACUUGGUGAUUUUUUCACAUCAAUCCCUGUGGCAGAAUUUUUUCGAACUAUCUGCGACACAACUCUCUAGCACUAAUAUUUUUCUGCAUGGUACUUUUAAUUCGUACCUGGUUCACCUCAUUGGGAGGCGAACACUCUAUCCCCUGAGCCAUCACGACUCCGGAUUAGGUUGUUAUAAUAAAUAAUAUCGUUUCAAGAUUAGGUUGAUUUAAUAAAUAAUAUCGUAUAAAAAAAAUGGAGAAAUCAAUACCAAUAACUGCCAAAAAUUCCGUAGAAUUAUUACCUUAAAAAGUAAAUUCUCAAAUGCAUGAUUCGAAUUUCCCAUAUCGUUUGAAAUAUAUUGUGAUAUUUUAAAACCACAUGAAAAUCAAUAUUAAUAGCUGCUGAAAAUACAAUGGAAACAAAUUACGUCGAUUUACAAUACAAUCAGCAUAAAUUGAGCGCUUCAAAAAGUGAUUAUCUAAAUGCAUAAUCAAAGCAUUAUGUCUAAAUUUCAGUGGAAAAGAAAAGUAAAUUUUUUUACUUUUCAAAACAAAAAUCUUUCAGCAUGAACUCUGUAAGGUUCUGCGAUAAAGUCGCCUUGUCGCUGCGAUUCUGCCAUGGGGACAUCAAUUCAUAACUCUUGUGAUUUAUUUUUAAUCCUGUGAUACUUGUUAUAAUUUUUAUUAUUUUUUUAUAUAUUAUUUUUUAUAUUUGUAGAUAAUUCACAGAAUAAAUAUAUGUACAUCUA